CAUCGCCUCCUGGAACCCCAGUAUAGGAGGUCCCGCCUGCCCUGUGACAUUAGUUUAACGGCCGCGGUAUCCUGACCGUGCGAAGGUAGCGUAAUCACUUGUCUUUUAAAUGAAGACCUGUAUGAAAGGCAUCACGAGAUUUUACCUGUCUCCCUUCUUCAAUCAGUGAAAUUGAUCUCCCCGUGCAGAAGCGGGCAUAAAGACAUAAGACGAGAAGACCCUAUGGAGCUUUAAAUAAUAUAUUAAUAAAAUGAAUUUACAACCCUCAGGGGAAAAGAAAUGGACUUAGCAUAAUAAAAUUAUUUUUGGUUGGGGCAACCACGGGGUAUAACACAACCCCCAUAUCGAUUGGGCAGAAAUGCCUAAAAAAUAGAACGACAGUUCUGUUUAAUAAAAUAUUUAACGAGCAACGAUCCAGAUAUAUCUGAUUAAUGAACCAAGUUACCCUAGGGAUAACAGCGCAAUCCUUUUCCAGAGUCCCUAUCGACGAAAGGGUUUACGACCUCGAUGUUGGAUCAGGACAUCCUAAUGGUGCAACCGCUAUUAAGGGUUCGUUUGUUCAACGAUUAAUAGUCCUAC
rnacentral:rRNA from 1 species